GGAUUGAGACAUUUGGACCAACCGUGAGUGAUCAACCAUUGGAGCAAGCUAUGGAGCUUGAAUAGCUCAUUGGAAUUGGUGUAUGUUUGUAAAAGUUGAUUGCUGAAACUGUUGGUGAAGAACAAAGGUCGAUUGAAGCAUUGAGGUAAGGAUGCUGCAGGAGCCUCUGGUGGCAAGUGGCCAUAUCUGG